UGGCUCAGGACGAACGCUGGCGGCGUGCUUAACACAUGCAAGUCGAGCGAUGAAGCUCCUUCGGGAGUGGAUUAGCGGCGGACGGGUGAGUAACACGUGGGUAACCUGCCUCAUAGAGGGGAAUAGCCUCUCGAAAGGAAGAUUAAUACCGCAUAUGGUAGCUUUAUCGCAUGGUAAUGCUAUUAAAGGGGUAAUCCGCUAUGAGAUGGACCCGCGUCGCAUUAGCUAGUUGGUGAGGUAACGGCUCACCAUGGCGACGAUGCGUAGCCGACCUGAGAGGGUGAUCGGCCACAUUGGGACUGAGACACGGCCCAGACUCCUACGGGAGGCAGCAGUGGGGAAUAUUGCGCAAAUGGGGGAAACCCUGACGCAGCAACGCCGCGUGAAGGAAGAAGGCCUUCGGGUUGUAAACUUCUUUGAUUAGGGACGAAUAAAUGACGGUACCUAAGGAACAAGCCACGGCUAACUACGUGCCAGCCGCAGC
rnacentral:rRNA from 1 species